UACAGAGGGUGCGAACGUUGUUCGGAAUCACUGGGCUUAAAGCGCACGUAGGCGGCAUCGUAAGUGUCGGGUGAAAUCCCACGGCUCACCCGUGGAACUGCCCGGCAGACUGCGAUGCUCGAGUGUGGUAGGGGAGAACGGAACUCCUGGUGGAGCGGUGAAAUGCGUAGAUAUUGGGAAGAACACCCGAGGCGAAGGCGGGUUGCUGGGCCGACACCGACGCUGAGGCGCGAAAGCCAGGGGAGCAAACGGG
rnacentral:rRNA from 1 species